UCCUACGGGAGGCAGCAGUAAGGAAUAUUGGACAAUGGAGGCAACUCUGAUCCAGCCAUGCCGCGUGAAGGAAUAAGGCCCUAUGGGUUGUAAACUUCUUUUAGACGGGACAAAACCCCUUUACGUGUAAAGGGUUGAUGGUACUGUCAGAAUAAGCAUCGGCUAACUUCGUGC
rnacentral:rRNA from 1 species